rnacentral:lncRNA from 1 species
GUCUGAGAGGCUAGUAUUGUUUUAGUCUCUAACUAUAGAUACUGUCUGAGAGGCUAGUAUUGUUUUAGUCUCUAACUAUAGAUUCUGUCUGAGAGGCUAGUAUUGUUUUAGUCUCUCUAACUAUAGAUACUGUCUGAGAGGCUAGUAUUGUUUUAGUCUCUCUAACUAUAGAUACUGUCUGAGAGGCUAGUAUUGUUUUAGUCUCUCUAACUAUAGAUACUGUCUGAGAGGCUAGUAUUGUUUUAGUCUCUAUAGAUACUGUCUGAGAGGCUAGUAUUGUUUUAGUCUCUCUAACUAUAGAUACUGUCUGAGAGGCUAGUAUUGUUUUAGUCUCUAUAGAUACUGUCUGAGAGGCUAGUAUUGUUUUAGUCUCUCUAACUAUAGAUACUGUCUGAGAGGCUAGUAUUGUUUUAGUCUCUCUCCCUAUUCCCUAUAUAGAGCGUUAUGCAUUUUUGGACCAGAGGCUUUUAUAAGGUGCUUUUUGAGGUAAAAUCACAGGCUGCAGUAAGGAGUAGUUUAGCCUUUGUAUCCUGUAUAAUGCAUUAUAACCUGUACAUAGAUAAAACCCCACCUGUACUCUCUGUACCUAGAGCUGUAGUUAACACGCUGCAGUAAGGAGUAGAAGUUCAGCUUUAUAACACCC